UACCAGCUCUCCGAGUGGUAGGGAUGAUUAUUGGGCUUAAAGCGUCCGUAGCCGGCUUAGCAAGUCUCCUGUUAAAUUCAGCGACCUAAUCGUUGAGCCGCGGGAGAUGCUACUAGGCUAGGAGGCGGGAGAGGUCGACGGUACUUCUGGGGUAGGGGUGAAAUCCUAUAAUCCCGGGAGGACCACCAGUGGCGAAGGCUGUCGACUAGAACGCGCUCGACGGUGAGGGACGAAAGCUGGGGGAGCGAACCGGAUUAGAUACCCGGGUAGUCCCAGCUGUAAACGAUGCGGGCUAGGUGUUGGGGUGGCUACGUGCCACUUCAGUGCCGCAGGGAAGCCAUUAAGCCCGCCGCCUGGGGAGUACGGCCGCAAGGCUGAAACUUAAAGGAAUUGGCGGGGAGCACCACAAGGCGUGAAGCUUGCGGUUC
rnacentral:rRNA from 1 species